rnacentral:lncRNA from 1 species
UUUUGUUAAUCGCUCUUCUUAACGCGAGGUUGCACGUUGACCCUUCAACGGUGUAUGUAACAUCUGCCUUAUCGUGAUAUGAUCCAUCAUUUCUCUUGUAAACCACAGAUGUGGUCAAGUUGAUUGAAGCAUAUGUUCCCAGUUGAAGAUGGCAUGGAAAAGGAAGACUCCCACUAUGACGGUAACAAACAACGUUGUUGUUUCCCAUGUUGUAGUGUGUAGAAUAGAUGCAGCAGAACACAAAAUAUUGGAAUGGAUGAGUUGAAGAAGGUGUGGAGUUAUUCAAAACUAGUUCUUGUCUUCUCUCAUGUUCACAUGCCAAAACUAUAAAUACACUCAUUUUGGAAUCAUCUUUUCACUCUCACUGUAUUGGAAGCGUUGUUCUUCAGCUUAAUUAUUGAUUCCCUAGCCACUUUUCUCUUUCUGGUGUUUAUGCUUUUUCUUUUAUUCUUCCACUUCCAUCAUUCUUGAUUCGUCUACUUUCGAUUCUAUUGUGCAGUGUUGAGUUAGUCUUAGUAGAAUUUACACGAGAGUUAACCCAAGUUGAAAAGAGACCCAAUCACAUUUUUAUCAUACUUUGUAUAUAUUAAUGACUAAAUAAUGUUUUAAAAUCUCAUCAUUUGAGUUUAAGUAUGCCAAAAGCUGUCGACCAUUCAACCAUGUGAGCAACUAGUUGUACAAGAAUAUAUCGUUAUGUAUUAAUAAUAGUAAGAUUAUUCUUCUAUAAUUAAAAAUUAAAUUUAUAAUAUUUUUUAAAGAAUAAAAUAUGUUCUGUAACCAAAAUAUAUUCUUAUUUGAAAGUUACAUUUUAUACUUCAAUGCUUUGGUUUAGUGCAGAACAUAAAAUAUGUAAAAACAAACAUUCACUCCUUCAUAUCCUUGACCAAAAGCAUAUCUGCAGCAUCCGACAGAUCAAUAAUUUUGCACCAGAAUAGCACAUUGAGGAUUUUAAUCUGCAUCACAACAAAAGAACCUGCCAGCAGCACCUAAAAGCAUAUACCAUAACGCAAAUAAAACCAGAAUUAACAGCAUCAUGGCACACCCUUGAGAGGAACAUGAGCCCUGUUCAUCCAACUGAAACCAUUCUCACAAUGAACCUGCCCUUUCCAACUACCUGCAGCUUUUAAUGCAGAUAACAAGAUUCAAAUCUCAAUCCGAAAACGAAAAAUUAAAGGCAUUAUUGACCUGUGUUUCAACCAUAGCAAGUGUGAAUGAACUCGUUAAUAAAAGUUUUUGUUUGGAAUUUAUCUAGUAAAAAUUGAGUUUACACUAUAAAAAAAUAUUAAAUAAAAACCAAUUUUAAAAAGAAAAAAUAAUUAGUUAUUAUAUUAAUUAAAUUAGAUACAAGAUUAAAAUAAUUAUUGAUAUCUACACUAGAUUCUAUUAUUAAUAAAAUUUAUAAAAUAAUUUUUUUACAUAUAUAUAAUUAACUACUAAUUAAUUUAAAUUAUAAUGUGUAACUAAAACAUUAAUAUAAACUUUUAGAAAUUUUAUUAAUAAUAUAAAUUAAUUUACAUACCACUAAAUUUUUUACUACAUAGAGUAUUAUAUAAUUUAUUUAAUAUGAUAAUUAAUUAUUUUUUUCUUCUAAAAUUUAUGUUUAUUUAAUAAUUUUAUUUUCUAAUGUUAGUUAUUAGUCUCAAUUUUGAGGUCGAUUUGAUAUUAAUAUUGUUACUUCUUAAUUAGUUUUUAAAAUUAAAAUUACUUAAAUUUUAAAUAUAUCAAAUAAUAGAAAUAUUAAUAUGUUCCUUUAUAUAUAUUGAUUUUUUUUUUAUCAUCAAGAAUCAAUAAAUAAAUAUGGAUCACUUAAAGAAUGAUUAACCUUUAUACAAAAGAAAAAAAAAAAACCUUACAUCCUAACCUAAACCAAGCCCUCAAGAGAAGCUACCAACUAACCCUUAUCCCAAUCAAAACACAACCAUAUGAAUUCACCCAUGGCAACAACCAAAGUGUACCAACACCAUAAACACCUAGAAUCGAAAUCAUAAAUAAACCAUCAAACAUAAAUUACUAGCAAAUAUAGGAACUUAUAAAACUUUUUACAAAGAUCAUACCAGUUGUACAACCCACUAACUCAACAAAAAAGAACAAAAGGUAACAUUUUUCACUUCCCUUAUACUUUUCCUUUGGAUCUCUUUAUCCUAAAUUAAGAUAUAAAAGCUCCUGAAGGAAACCAACCCCUUACUCCACAUAGGAGGAUAUACUCUUAAAGACCCUUGUGCAAAACACAUAAUUUUUUCCUUCUUAAAAAAGGAGUUAGAGAUAUAAACCAAGAUAAGGGAGACUAGAUUAUUUCACAAUUUGGAGCCAUAGGAAUAAGAUUAUUUUCAAAGGUGGAGUUUUUUUUUAUUAUUAUGAUCUUUUCUUUGAUUCAAGUGAAGGUUUGGUCUUGGAUCACUCAUAAAUUUCCCUUUGCUUGUUUUUCUUUUUCCGAUCGGUGUUUUGAUCCUUUGAUCUGGCUUCCUUCACUAUAGCUCGUUGUUGAUAGUUGUCUUAGGCAAGGUUCGUUUAUUGAGUAGUUGUCUGAAAGUUGUUGGGUUGUUAGAGUAUCAUUGUUUCUUUGUAUAUGGGUUGGAUCACCCAUAAAGUGGUUCAUAUGUAUAUAUUAUUUAUAGUUGAUAAAAAAACAAUUUUUAUAUAUACCAAAGGUUUCAACACAUUCUAAAUUUUUUUUUUUAAUGGUAAUCCAAUUCCAAGAUUGAGAAUGCAACCUCAAAUAGCUCAUGAUUGCAUUUGGAGAAAGGAGAGAUUAUUUGGUGGCUCCAAGAACCCCACACGGUUUCUGCAAAGUCAGCAUGCCCAUUCUCAUCAUCAUCAACUUUAAAAGAAGGAUUAUGAAACUCACUCAGCUCCACAUUGAAGAAAAAGAAACCUUAUUUUGACAUGGAUCACUAUAGUCUGUGUCAAAUUUAUUUUAUUUUUUUCUUAUUUUCUUCUGUUACAAUCGCAAUUUCUUAUAUAAUAUAUAUGUGUAAAGUAGGCAACACAUUAAUAUCAUAGAAAUAGGCUAUAUAUAUAUAUAUAUAUAUACACACACACACACACGCACAGGGUCUUCCUUCAAUUAAAACCAUAGAAAUAUUUGCAUCUGAUGGAGCUACAAUUGGCAUGCCCUUUGAACCUUCCAUCAUUGGCAAUGCUUGCUUUAUUUUUCUGGCUGCCAUGAUGUGGUGGUAGGGGAACACCAUCACUGUCUUCACUAUCAGAGAGCCAAGACAUGUUCCUUCGAAUGUUACUACAAUGAGGGCACAUGCUUGGCUUCCAAAUCCCACUUCUGUUCACUUCAUCAAACAUGUAUAAUAAUGCAGAAACAGGGUGUCGUUCAGGACCCUCUGCUCUUAUAUCAAAUUUUCCAUCAGAUAAACCAACCUUCACCACAACAGAAAACCCAACAUCUGUUGUUUCACUUGAUCUGUUAACACCUCCUGUUCCUUUACUGUUAACAAAAUAGUGUGCCAUAGUCACGGCCUUAGCCUGUUGAUGAGAAUCAUUUUUGUUGCACUCCCAAACAAGAAGACCGCACCUGUUUGCAGUGCCAUACAAGUAAAUUUUGGUGUCCGUAACACCACCCCAUGCAUCAACCUUCUUCUUCGUCUUCGUCCACGGGAUGGAAUUGUGAUUCUUAAAGUCGACCGUACCAAGAAAACCGGUUCCGGUUUUGUUUAUCUGCAUGCAUAGGUUGUCUCCGUCUAAACAUACUACGGUGUCAUGGAGAAUGAAGGUUAAUAAGUUGACACCGCUGCUGUAAACAGAUUUUGUUAACAUAAGGUUGCACGUUGACCCUUCAACGGUGUAUGAAACUUCUGCCUUGUCGGAAUAUGAUCCAUCAUCCCACUUGUGAACACAGAUGUGGUCAAGUUGAUGGAAGCGUCUCUUCCCAGUUGAAGAUGGCAUGGAAAAGGAAGACUCCCACUAUGACGGAAAAAAACAACGUUGUUGUUUCCCAUGUUUUUACUGUGUAGAAUAGAUGCAGCACACCACAAAAUAUUGGAAUGGAUGAGUUGAAGAAGGUGUGGAGUUAUUCAAAACUGUUCUUGUCUUCUCUCAUGUUCACAUGCCAAAACUAUAAAUACACUCAUUUUAGAAUAUUUUUUCACUCUCACUGUAUUGGAAGCGUUGUUCUUCAGCUUAAUUAUUGAUUCCCUAGCCACUUUUCUCUUUCUGGUGUUUAUGCUUUUUCUUUUAUUCUUCCACUUCCAUCAUUCUUGAUCCAUCUACUUUCGAUUCUAUUGUAUUGUGCAGUGUUAGUUUCUCUUUAACAGUAGAGUUUCAAAACCAGUUUAGGGGUGCUUUUUAGCAUACCUCACUUUUAGUUUUAAAAUCACUUUCUUCUUCUUCUUCUAAAUUUUCAGCUAAAAAUAAACUACUUUCCUUAAAAUUAGGUUAGUUAUGUUUAUGCAUUAUGAUAAUGUUAAAUAGAGUUAGAUAACUGAGAUAUGAGCCCCAGAUUAGUCCCACACGAUUUGCAAUAAAUUUUUUAUUCAUCACUGUCAGGGCUGAAAGGAAGGUUCGUUUGUGUGUGAAAAUGUUUGAUUUCUUUCGUGGGUGAAUACCCAUCCGUUUGAUCUGAAAUUUGUCGCGUUUUGUUCCAAAUUCAGUCGCGAUUCUUACGUGAAAUUUUAGAAAAAAACUAUUUCGGGAGAAUUUUUCAUAAAUUUUGUGCAAACCAAGGCUACCAAAACUUGUGAAAUUUCGCCAUACUUUCUGCAAUUUUUUUUCGGGUCCGUAUUGCGCUAGAAAAAUUCACACAUGUACUUUCAUAUGUUGUUUCCACCCAGGUAAGGAAGCACGUCCAUAAAAAAAUCACAAAAACAAGAUACGGGGUGGAAAAGCCACGACGUUCUGUUUUCAGAACACCAAUUUUGUUCACUCUCGGUCUGGGACUUAAUACACCUUACUCCUUGGGUAUUUUCGUUUGAAAUUUUUUUACCAGACAUUGGUCAUUGUGUCUAUCAAAUUUUGGUUGAGAUCUGAGCCCCAGAUUCGUCCCACAGGAUUCGCAGUAAAUAUUUUAUUCAUCACUGCCAGGGCUGAAAGGAAGGUUCGUUUGUGUGUUAAACUGUUUUAUUUUUUUUCUAGGUGAAUACUCAUCCGUUUGACCUGAAAUUUGUCGGGUUUUGUCCCAAAUUCAGUCGAGAUUCUUACGUGGAAUUUUAGGAAAAAACUAUUUCGGGGGAAUUUUUCAGAAAUUUUGUGCAAACCAAGGCUAUCCUCUACCAAAACUUGUGAAAUUCCGCCAUAUUUUCUGCAAUUUUUUUCCGAGUCCGUAUUGCGCUAAAAAAAUUCACACAAGUACUUUCAUAUGUUGUUUCCACGCAGGUAAGGAGGCACGUCCAUAAACAAAUCACAAAAACAAGAUACGGGGUGGAAAAGCCAUGACGUUCUUUUUUCGGAACACCAGUUUUGUUCACUCUCGGACUGGGAUUUACUAUGCCUUACUCCUUGGCUAUUUGGGUCCCAAAUUUUUACCAGACAUUGGUCAUUGUGUCUAUCGAGUUUUGGAUGAGAUCUGAGCCCCAGAUUCGUCACACAGGGUUCGCAGUAAAUUUUUUAAUCAUCACUGCCAAGGCUGAAAGGAAGGUUCGUUUGUGUGUGAAACUGUUUGAUUUUUUUCCUAGGUGAGUACUCAUUCGUUUGACCUCAAAUGUGUCGCGUUUUGUCCAAAUUUCAGUCGAGAUUCUUACGUGGAAUUUUAGGAAAAAACUAUUUCGGGAGAAUCUUUCAGAAAUUUUGUGCAAACCAAUGCUAUCCUCUACCAAAACUUGUGAAAUUCCGUCAUGCUUUCUGCAAUUUUUUUCUAGGUCCCUAUUGUGCUAAAAAAAUCUCACAAGUAUUUUUAUAUGUUGUUUCCACCCAGGUAAGGGGGCAUGUCAUAAACAAAUUACAAAACCAAGAUAUGGGGUAGAAAAUUCAGUACGUUUUUUUUUUCGGAAAACCAGUUUUGUUCACUCUCGGUCUGGGAUUUACUACACUUUACUCCUUUGGUAUUUUGGUCUGAAAUUUUUUCCAGACAUUGGUCAUUGUGUCUAUUGAGUUUUGGCUGAGAUCUGAGCCCCAGAUUUGUCCCACAAGAUUCGCAAUAAAUUUUGUUAUUCAUCACUGCCAGAACUGAAAGGAAGGUUCGUUUGUGUGUGAAACUGUUUUAUUUUUUUCUUAAGUAAAUACUCAUCCGUUUGGCCUGAAAUUUGUCGUGUGUUGUCCCAAAUUCAGUCGAAAUUCUUACGUGGAACUUCAAGAAAAAACUAUAUCGAGAGAAUUUUUCAGAAAUUUAUAGAAAUGAAGGUUUUAUAUAUGUAAAAAAUAAUAGAUAAAUAGUAAUGAUAGUUUGACAACAUAUUCCAAUAUACAAUUUGUGAUUGAUAAUAUGAAAAAAUGAUAUUUUUAUCAUGUUAUGUAAAAAUUGAAAUUUUAGACAAAGAAAUAAAGUUGCAAACUUAUGCAAGUUUUCAAUAUGUCACUUUUCAUAUAUAAAUAAAAUAAAAUAGUAUUUGGUACCUCCAACUCAUUUCUAUAAACAGUGAACUGGAUACAAAUAAUACCAUACAAAUCUUCAUCCAAAAUAACUAAAAUUAAGGAACUUUCUCCUCACAUAUUAUCCACAAAUAUAUAAAGUAAAAUUAAAGUCACAAAAAAUUAAUUUCCUUUGACUGACUCAAUAAAAAAAACUCAACACAGAAUGUCAUAAAGUUCAUAAUUAACAUUAUACAUGUUGUUUGACUCAGCUACUUAUAAGUUAGGGUUUUCCCUUAACUAAAAAUAUUGAAAUAUCUGCAUCUAAUGGAGGCACCAUUAGCAUGCCCGUUGAACCUUCCAUCAGCAUUGUAUAUUCUUACUGCAUUUCUCUGCCUGCCAUCGCUCUCUUCACUAUCAGACUGCGAAGAAGACAUGUUCCUCCGAACGUUACCACACUGAGGGCACAUGCUUGGCUUCCAAAUCCCACUUCUGUUCACUUCAUUGAACAUGUAUAAUAAUGCAGAAACAGGGUGUCGUUCAGGACCCUCCACUGUUAUAUCAUAUUUUCCAUCAGAUUCUGCAAUCUUCACCACAACAGAAAACCCAAUAUCUGUUGUUUCAGUUGAUCUGUUAACAGCUACUGUUCCGCUACUAUGAACAAAAUAGUGUGCAAUAGUCACUGCCUUAACCUCUUCAUGACCAUCAUUGUUCUUGCCCUCCCAAACAAGAAGACCGCACCUGUUUGCAGUGCCAUACAAGUAAACUUUGGUCUCCGUAACACCACCCCAUGCAUCAACCUUCUUCUUCGUCUUCGUCCACCCGAUGGAACUGACUUUAGACUUAUAUUCGAAAGUUUUAAAACCGGUUUCCCUUUUGGAUACAUGCAGCCAUAGCUUUUCUCCGUCUAAAAAUGUGCUGUCAUGGAGAAUCAACGAUAGGAGAAGGACAUGGCCGUUUUUGUCAACGCUUCGAAUUAACUGGAGGUUGCACGUUGACCCUUCAACGUUGUAUGAAACUUCUGCGUUAUCGUCAUAUGAUCCAUCACACCACUUGUGAACCACAGAUGUGGUCAAGUUGAUGGUAGCAUCUCGUCCCAGUUGAAGAUGGCAUGGAAAAGGAAGACUCCCACUAUGACGGUAAAAAGAAGCAACGUUGUUGUUUCCCAUGUUGUAGUGUGUAGAAUAGAUGCAGCACAACACAAAAUAUUGGAAUGAAUGAGUUGAAGAAGGUGUGGAGUUAUUCAAAACUAGUUCUUGUCUUCUCUCAUCUUCACAUGCCAAAACUAUAAAUACACUCAUUUUAGAAUG